AAUCAACGCUGGCGGCGUGCCUCAGACAUGCAAGUCGAACGAUUAAGACUUCCUUCGGGAAGUGUAUAAAGUGGCGCACGGGUGAGUAACACGUAAGUAAUCUACCUUCGAGUGGGGAAUAACAGUCGGAAACGACUGCUAAUACCGCAUAAUGCAGCGGCAUCGCAAGAUGACAGUUGUUAAAGGAGCAAUCCGCUUGAAGAGGAGCUUGCGGCAGAUUAGCUAGUUGGUAAGGUAAUGGCUUACCAAGGCUACGAUCUGUAUCCGGCCUGAGAGGGCGGUCGGACACACUGACACUGAAUACCGGGUCAGACUCCUACGGGGGGCAGCAGUCGGGAAUUUUGGGCAAUGGGCGAAAGCCUGACCCAGCAACGCCGCGUGAAGGAUUAAGUAUUUCGGUAUGUAAACUUCGAAAGAAUGGGAAGAAUCAAUGACGGUACCAUUUAUAAGCUCCGGCUAACUACGUGCCAGCCGCCGCCGUAAGAC
rnacentral:rRNA from 1 species